rnacentral:snRNA from 13 species
AAAACUUAAAAAAAAAAAAAAAAAAUCUGUUCUUAUCAGUUUCAUAUCUGAUACGUCCCCUAUCUGGGGACCAUAUAUUAAAUUGAUUUUUGGAAUAGGGAGAUGGAAUAGGGGCUUGCUCCGUCCACUCCGCGCAUCGACCUGGUAUUGCAGUACCUCCAGGAACGGUGCACCACCU